rnacentral:rRNA from 1 species
CCUACGGGUGGCAGCAGUGGGGAAUAUUGGGUAAUGGAGGAAACUCUGACCCAGCAAUGCCGCGUGAAUGAAGAAGGUCUUCGGAUUGUAAAGUUCUUUAGUCAGGGAAGAAGUCAAUCACGGUACCUGAAGAAUACGCUUCGGCUAACUACAUGCCAGCAGCCGCGGUAAUACGUAGGGAGCAAGCGUAGUUCGGAAUGACUGGGCGUAAAGGGUGCGUAGGUGGUUGUAGAAGGUAGAAGUGGAAUACCCAGGGCUUAACUCGGGUGCUGCUUCUAAAACUGUAUGACUUGAGUGCAGUAGAGGUUAGUGGAAUUCGUAGUGUAGCGGUGGAAUGCGUAGAUAUUAGGAGGAACACCAGAGGCGAAGGCGGCUAACUGGACUGCAACUGACGCUGAGGCACGAAAGUGUGGGGAGCAAACAGGAUUAGAUACCCUAGUAGUC